GUCUUUUUGCUGUGUCCUCACAUGCUGGAAGGGAUGAACCUGUUCUCCGGGAUCUCUUUCAGAUGGGCACUAGUCCCAAUCAUGAGGGCUUUGCUCUCAUGACCUAAUCACUUCCCAGAGGCCCUACCUGCUAAUACUAUCACAUUGGGGACUAAGAUUUCAAUAUAUGAAUUUUGUGGGGACACAAACAUUCAGCACAGCAACAGACAGAGAGAAGAUGACCAUGUGAUGAAGAAGGCAGAGAUUGGAGUGAUACAUCUACAAACUAAGGACCCAGAGAGAAGAUGACUGUCUGCAAACCAGAAAGAGCGGCUUCGCCAGAAACCAACUCUACUGGACCUUGAUCUGGGGCCUCUAGCCUCCAGAACAGUGAGAAAAAAAAAUUACUGUUGUUUAAGCCACUCAAUCUAUGGUAUUUUUGUUAGGGCAGCCUGAGCCGACUAAUACAAUAAGGUAGGUAAUCAAGG
rnacentral:lncRNA from 1 species